rnacentral:rRNA from 1 species
GAUCCUGGCUCAGGAUGAACGCUAGCGGGCAGGCUUAACACAUGCAAGUCGAGGGGCAGCGAGAGAGUAGCAAUACUUUUGUCCGGCGACCGGCGGACGGGUGCGUAACGCGUAUCGCAACCUACCUUAUACAGGGGGAUAACCUUUCGAAAGGGAGACUAAUACCGCAUAACAUUACUUUGAGGCAUCUUGAGGUAAUUAAAUCUUCGGAGGUAUAAGAUGGGCAUGCGUAGCAUUGGCUAGAUGGUGCGGUAACGGCGUACCAUGGCGACGAUGCUUAGGGGUUCUGAGAGGAAGGUCCCCCACACUGGAACUGAGACACGGUCCAGACUCCUACGGGAGGCAGCAGUGAGGAAUAUUGGUCAAUGGGCGAGAGCCUGAACCAGCCAAGUCGCGUGAGGGAAGACGGUACUAAGUAUUGUAAACCUCUUUUGUCAGGGAACAAAGAGACCACGAGUGGUAAGAUGAGUGUACCUGAAGAAAAAGCAUCGGCUAACUCCGUG